rnacentral:rRNA from 1 species
AUACGGAGGGGACUAGCGUUGUUCGGAAUUACUGGGCGUAAAGCGUACGUAGGCGGAUCAGAAAGUAUGGGGUGAAAUCCCAGGGCUCAACCCUGGAACUGCCUCAUAAACUCCUGGUCUUGAGUUCGAGAGAGGUGAGUGGAAUUCCGAGUGUAGAGGUGAAAUUCGUAGAUAUUCGGAGGAACACCAGUGGCGAAGGCGGCUCACUGGCUCGAUACUGACGCUGAGGUACGAAAGUGUGGGGAGCAAACAGGAUUAGAUACCCUAGUAGUCC